AUUGGCGCGUGCCAAGGGUUUCGUGAAUUAACUUUAAUUGUUUAUAUUACAUAAAACUGUAUUUGGUACAUGUACAGAAUAUUUCCAAGCGGGUCUAUCGUCUAGCGUUUUCUCGAAUCAUCGCUAUUGAUCGAUCAACGGUGUAAAUCAGUCCACUGCAGUAGCAAAGCGAGCACAGCAGGAAUAUAUAUCCCAGGUAUCCCAGGUGACGCAAAAAUUCUGCACGGUAGAAAAAAUGAAUGGCAGAAGAAUGCGGACAUUGCGAGAGAUUGUCGUAAAUACCGUUGUUAAUCGAUUAAUAAAAAUCUUACCUUGAGUUAAUAGUCUGGCUUUGGAAACAACGAUUACUUUCAGUUGCAUCACCUUAACGUUAUCGACAGAGCAGGUAUAGUUCCCUGCCUCGUAAGGGGAAACGUCUAACACGCAUGUGCGAGGACAUAGAAAAAUUUGAUACGUUAUAUCAGGAGAUGCGACUUAUCUACUCGAUAAGUUUAAUACCUAUCAGAUAAAGCGUCCCGAACGCGUCUACUACCACGCGAGCAACCGUAUCCAAUUUGCGAAAUGAUCUACGGACGCCUUUUUCCAAUGUGAUCGAAUCCUUCUUCCACGACACUUGCGUUUCCAAGCUCGACCUGAAAGACGUAAACAAGUUAGAAACGAGUUAAGCUUGAAUGACGUUUAAAAAUCAAAUUAUACUCGGGACAAAUGACGGUGAGGUAAGCUCCUUCCAUGAGCACGUAUCGUUUGAUGUAUCUAAACGUGCGAGACGACUUCUUCUUUACCCGCACACACUUUGUACACGAUUCCUUCAGGAUGUAGUCAGGGCAAUGACGGAGCCUUUUGGAAAAACUUGACUAUCGAAGAAUCGCUCUGGCUAGCGAUCGUCUAUAGCAGCGUUCAAAUUAGCCGAAUUGCAACAGAAAGCAAAUAAUAAAAUCAAUAAGUAUUAUUGUAGAUAAUAU